rnacentral:rRNA from 1 species
AACGAACGCUGGCGGCAGGCUUAACACAUGCAAGUCGAACGCCCCGCAAGGGGAGUGGCAGACGGGUGAGUAACGCGUGGGAAUCUACCCAGUUCUACGGAACAACACAGGGAAACUUGUGCUAAUACCGUAUACGCCCUACGGGGGAAAGAUUUAUCGGAAUUGGAUGAGCCCGCGUUGGAUUAGCUAGUUGGUGGGGUAAUGGCCUACCAAGGCGACGAUCCAUAGCUGGUCUGAGAGGAUGAUCAGCCACACUGGGACUGAGACACGGCCCAGACUCCUACGGGAGGCAGCAGUGGGGAAUAUUGGACAAUGGGCGCAAGCCUGAUCCAGCCAUGCCGCGUGAGUGAUGAAGGCCUUAGGGUUGUAAAGCUCUUUCAGUGGGGACGAUAAUGACGGUACCCACAGAAGAAGCCCCGGCUAACUUCGUGCCAGCCGCCGCUGUAA